UAAAGAGCUUUGUUAAACUUAGACUUAAGUUUAGGUCAUUUUGGGGGUUUAGCUCAGUUGGCUAGAGCAUCGGCUUUGCAAGCCGAGGGUCAAGGGUUCGAGUCCCUUAACCUCCAUUGGGCUUAUGUCCUAAAUCGUAAUUAAGUAUGUUUUUAAGUAACUUUGUUAAAGUAAUUGUUGGAACGUGAAACAGAGGAAGUUAAAAUUUCUGGGUUAAGUUGAGAUCUGUUGAUAUUAAGAAGAAUCUCUAGAAGCAAAAGCAAGCUUUCGAUAAAACCCGAAGUUGUUUCGCUAAAGUGCAAGGAUUAAACAGGAUUGUAUUUUCCAGUAGCCUAUUUUAUAAAUGAUCUGCAUUUAGUAAAUAGUUUUUAGUUAAGAAAUAAUGUAGAUUGCUAAGUGUGAUGCCUGAAAGAAGGACAAGUAUUGUAGCGAGCCUAAAUCCUUGUUGUCGUUGCCAGUAUUUAGUGGUAGGGAUUCGGAUAAGACUGCCAUUUAUAAGUUGGAGGAAGGCAAAGAUUGCAUUAAAUCGUUAUCGCUCUUAUGUUUUAGGUUACAAGUUUGCCACAAUAACCC
rnacentral:tRNA from 1 species